UACAGAGGGGGCAAGCGUUGUUCGGAAUUACUGGGCGUAAAGGGCGCGUAGCGGCCGCCUAAGUCAGACGUGAAAUCCCUCGGCUCAACCGGGGAACUGCGUCUGAUACUGGGUGGCUUGAAUCCGGGAGAGGGAUGCGGAAUUCCAGGUGUAGCGGUGAAAUGCGUAGAUAUCUGGAGGAACACCGGUGGCGAAAAGCGGCUCCUG
rnacentral:rRNA from 1 species